CCAAACUCCAUAACUAUAAUCGAGACAUAUCAAAAUACUCCACAUGAUCCGAUCUCCAAAUAAAGCAAACCUUUUUUUCUUCACAAAUCAAAAUUUUGUCUAGUUUUAUGAGGUUUGUUGAUGUGUUCUCAUUUCAGAAGCAGCGGAUUAUCAUAAUGGAUCCCAUAACUCUUAUGCCAAAAGAUACAAUAUUGAAAUGCUCUCAGAGUCUUAGUUGGUGCUGAAAGGCUUGGACCUGUUCUCACAACAAGGAUGCAUAUCAGGCGCACUUGACCCGUUCUCGCAACAAGGAUCUCGUGUUUUCUGCAUCCUUUCAGCAAAUGGUAUCGUCGCCAAUGUAACCCUUCGUCAACAUGGGACUCAUAAGAUUUGUAGCAUAGAAGUCAUGCUUAUAUCUGAGCUUCGUUUCAGUUGUUUUUCUAAUGAUGGCUCACAUCAUUGUCAGUCUUGGACUGAUAAUAAUUUUAAUAGCCAAUAACAAAUACUUUAUCAGGAUGAUGUAUUGUUUAGCAUAUGUAGCAAAAUUGUUGGCUGAUUAU